GGAUGUGAGGGUGAUCUGGACGUGAUAUUUGUCAUCCUAUUGGUCUCUAGGAUUGACUGGCUUGACCUGGGUGGCUUGGUGGUGUCCUCGCCUCCCUCACUGCUCUAUGUGCAUCCCUCUAAAGUUGCAUGCUUGGCUGAGGAGGCCCAUUCUUCAGUCAAAGGUAUAGAAAUAGCUGCCCACCUUGCCAGAACCUCCAAGCAAGUUCUCAAGAAUUUCAGUAUGAGUGAGAAAAUACAAAGGAUGUGCAGAACUUAUUACUCCAU
rnacentral:snRNA from 1 species